ACGUAGGUGGCGAGCGUUAUCCGGAUUUACUGGGUGUAAAGGGCGCGUAGGCGGGAAUGCAAGUCAGAUGUGAAAUCCAAGGGCUCAACCCUUGAACUGCAUUUGAAACUGCAUUUCUUGAGUGUCGGAGAGGUUGACGGAAUUCCUAGUGUAGCGGUGAAAUGCGUAGAUAUUAGGAGGAACACCAGUGGCGAAGGCGGUCAACUGGACGAUAACUGACGCUGAGGCGCGAAAGCGUGGGGAGCAAACAG
rnacentral:rRNA from 1 species